UAAAGCACCGAUCCCCGGUACCGAGCUCGAAUUCAGAAUCCCAUUAGAACUCCGAAGUUAAGCGUGCUUGGGCGAGAGUAGUACUAGGAUGGGUGACCUCCUGGGAAGUCCUCGUGUUGCAUUCC
rnacentral:rRNA from 14 species